CCUACGGGGUGCAGCAGUGGGGAAUAUUGCGCAAUGGGCGAAAGCCUGACGCAGCGACGCCGCGUGAGGGAUGAAGGUCUUCGGAUCGUAAACCUCUGUCAGCAGGGAAGAACGGUCACUGUGCUAAUCAGCAGUGAAUUGACGGUACCUGCAAAGGAAGCACCGGCUAACUCCGUGCCAGCAGCCGCGGUAAUACGGAGGGUGCGAGCGUUAAUCGGAAGUACUGGGCGUAAAGCGCUCGUAGGCGGUAUGUCAAGUCAAGGGUGAAAUCUCCGCGCUCAACGUGGGGACUGCCUUUGAAACUGGCGAACUGGAGUGUGGGAGAGGAUAGUGGAAUUCCUGGUGUAGGAGUGAAAUCCGUAGAUAUCUGGAGGAACAUCAGUGGCGAAGGCGACUAUCUGGCACAUAACUGACGCUGAGGAGCGAAAGCGUGGGUAGCAAACAGGAUUAGAUACCCCAGUAGUC
rnacentral:rRNA from 1 species